GCAUGUACCCUCUUGGAUCCUCACAAUCAAUCGACCCAUCAAUAAACAUGAUAAGAAAGUCAGAUACUGAAAUUAUAUAUGCAUUUCCUAUUUUGAUAUUUUCUAACAGUACUUUUGCUUAAACUCUUUAUUUACAGUGUGUGUGGUGGUGCAUGUCUUUAAUCACAGCAUUCAGGACGCAGAAGCUGAUGGAUCUCUGUGAGUUCAAAGCAGCCAGCCUGGUCUACAGAGGGAGUUCCAGGACAGCCAGAGCUACACAGAGAAACCUUUAAAGGACUUUAAAAAAGAACCUUAAUUUAUUCUUUUUGAUUUUUCUCAGUUUUCUGUGGUUAUCUUUGUAAUUUCAUAGUAGUUUCUGCCUCAUGAACAUUGAAGCUGCAUUGGGGAGAUGCUCAGGAGUCCUUCAUUUCAUCACUAAUUAGGAAAUGUCCUUCUUAUCUUCUUCUAAUCUAGCAAGUGCGGCAGGAAAUGGAUGACCCCUCACCCUGCCCCUGCAGUGACCUCAACCCUACUCCUGAGGACCACCCUCUGGGCCGCCUAGGGCGGACCCAUGAUCACCUCUCCAGGUUGGCCACCAAGCAGCAGAGGAUGAAGCGCAAAUGCAGAGGUUACUGCAACCCGGUUCUUUCAUUCAGAAUGUGAAGGUCACUUCAGUGUUCAUCGCUGCCUUCGAGUUUGUUAAGGAGAGGAAGAAAAAAAACAAAAACAA